rnacentral:rRNA from 1 species
AAAGGAAUAGACGGGGGCCCGCACAAGUAGCGGAGCAUGUGGUUUAAUUCGAAGCAACGCGAAGAACCUUACCUAGACUUGACAUCUUCUGCAUUACCCUUAAUCGGGGAAGUUCCUUCGGGAACAGAAUGACAGGUGGUGCAUGGUUGUCGUCAGCUCGUGUCGUGAGAUGUUGGGUUAAGUCCCGCAACGAGCGCAACCCCUAUUGUUAGUUGCUACCAUUAAGUUGAGCACUCUAGCGAGACUGCCCGGGUUAACCGGGAGGAAGGUGGGGAUGACGUCAAAUCAUCAUGCCCCUUAUGUCUAGGGCUACACACGUGCUACAAUGGCAAGUACAGAGAGAUGCAAUACCGUGAGGUGGAGCUAAACUUCAAAACUUGUCUCAGUUCGGAUUGUAGGCUGAAACUCGCCUACAUGAAGCUGGAGUUACUAGUAAUCGCGAAUCAGCAUGUCGCGGUGAAUACGUUCCCGGGCCUUGUACACACCGCCCGU